AUAUCUCUUCAUUCUAUUCUCUUUUUAUUGGUUCAAACAAAUGACACAAGUCAACCAAAACAAAACACUCUUGUUAAAGAUGGUACAGAAUUGUUAUUCGUAAACUUUAUUUCAGUGUUACAUCUCUACACUCAAACACACACACACUCUCACACAUUUCUCACACAAUGUAUGGAGAUAGGAAUAGUGUAAAUAGUAGAAUAUUUUUAGAAAAUAGAACAAACUUCACUGGACGGAGUUAGGCAUGCACUCGUCUGCUAAGCCUAUACAUAAUACUGUUGUAAGAUUUCUUUCCAUACACAAGAAUUGUGUUCAUUUGUACAAGAAGAAAAACUUCAGUAGGCUAAAUAUAGUAUUUCUGUACAUCAUGUUAUUACCAGUCUAUUUGUCAUUGAAGCUGUGCUCCAAUAUUCUUUCUUUACAAAAUAGAAUCAACUGACCAAGUUGUUACAACUUUCAUAAUAGUAUUCACAAAUUGGUUCAUUGGUACAAAACUAAAAUAUUUUUAGUCUUCUAUAUUGAUUAUAAAUGAGUUGGCUUUAUGUUUUUGUUUCAGAAAAAAUACACAUUAAUAAAUAAGAAUCGGCAUUAGCACACUUUUAUGAACCACCAUUUAUAGAAAAAAAGAGUUGAUCUUAACAGCCAUGAUGAUAUAUCUCUUAUAAUAGUCAUGAUGAUAUAUCUCUUAUAAUAGUCAUGAUGAUAUAUCUCUUAUAAU